UACAGAGGUGGCGAGCGUUAUUCGGAAUCAUUGGGCGUAAAGGGCGCGUAGGCGGCCCAGUAAGUCAAAGGUGAAAGCCCUCGGCUCAACCGAGGAAGUGCCUUUGAUACUGCAGGGCUCGAGGCCGGGAGAGGGUAGUGGAAUUCCCAGUGUAGCGGUGAAAUGCGUAGAUAUUGGGAGGAACACCGGUGGCGAAGGCGGCUACCUGGACCGGUUCUGACGCUGAGGCGCGAAAGCGUGGGUAGCAAACAGG
rnacentral:rRNA from 1 species